GGGAGAUGCCCAUUUGAGAUGCGGGCUGUGAGUUUAAUGGUAGGUUUGGGUAUGGUUUGAAAUGGAAUCAUCACAAAUUGUAACUUCCUUGACUCGGAAUCAAUGAGCUUUUCAAACAGUUACAGAUGUUGGAAUUUGUAACUUUUCAUAUAUAAAAGUAUCUUAUGAGGUACAUUUACCAAGCCUUGAAACAAACCCAAGUACUGAGAUAAAAGUUCAAACUAUAUAGAGUGCUUUGAUGCUGAAAGGAACAGAAAUAAUUGUUUAUAUGUGUAUUUGACAUUCCACCCAGAAGGGGUUAAAUCCCUGCUUUAGUUGAUGUAUUUUCUUCCUUAUGAAUUAAACACUAAAGUAUGUCCAUUUCAUCACUUUCUUUACACACCUAACUCUCCCUUUAUUGUGCCUUGUCUCUACUUGUCUGCAGAAAGAUCUCUCCAUAUUUUGCUUCUGACGCCAAAUAACCGUGAUCACUUACGAUGAAAGAGUAUUGGUUAAUGAGAUUGUUGAGAAAGUUCUGUUUUGUUUAUAAAGUCAUUCCUAUCUUUUUCAUAAUGCAUCUUUUCUCUUUGGACCAAGAGCAUUGAUCCUACAUCUGUUUUUUUGCUGAAUGUUUUCAUUUGAGGUUGAUGAUAGGACUUUUAUGAAUCAGAGCUGGAUUCUGUCAGUUAGAAAGGAAGAUUGCCAACAGGUAUGCUCAGUGGAGGCUGGGAAGAGUCUAGUGCUGAUGGUGAAGAUGAGUUCUUUUGUCCAUCAUCCUGAGCAGAGCAGUUUCGUGGAUACAUUUGGUGCCACUGAUAACACACAAGACUUGAUAUAUUUGGCAUUAAACUCAGGACAAAAGAAGACACAAACUUGAUCUUGUGGUUUGGGUCCUCCAAUCCUCGUAAAAGUGUGGUUUCACCUGUUACCUCAUAAAGGUGCCAUUGCUGUAUGCACAUCUGAAUCUAUUUACAAUUUGAGAAUAGAGGUGAGAAAGAAUGAUUUACUAUUUUGUGACAUUCGUAUGGUCAAAAUUUUUA
rnacentral:lncRNA from 1 species